ACGCGAAAGUCCCCUUCGGGGGAUAAGUAGAGUGGCGUCCGGGUGAGUAACANGNAGGNAAUCUACCUUCGGGUGGGGAAUAACCCAGGGAAACUUGGGCUAAUACCGCAUAAUGCAGCGGCACCACAUGGUGACAGUUGUUAAAGCGGGGGAUCUUCGGAUCUCGCGCCUGAAGAGGAGCCUGCGGCAGAUUAGCUAGUUGGUAAGGUAACGGCUUACCAAGGCGACGAUCUGUAGCCGGCCUGAGAGGGCGGUCGGCCACACUGACACUGACAUACGGGUCAGACUCCUACGGGAGGCAGCAGUCGGGAAUUUUGGGCAAUGGGCGAAAGCCUGACCCAGCAACGCCGCGUGAAGGAUGAAAUCCCUCGGGAUGUAAACUUCGCAAGAAUGGGAAGAAUUAGUAGGGGUUAAUACCCUCUAUGAUGACGGUACCAUUUGUAAGCUCCGGCUAACUCCGUGCCAGCAGCCGCGGUAAUACGGGGGGAGCAAGCGUUGUUCGGAUUUACUGGGCGUAAAGGGCGCGUAGGCGGUCAGCACAAGUCAGUUGUGAAAUCUCCGGGCUUAACUCGGAAAGGUCAACUGAUACUGUGCGACUAGAGUGCAGAAGGGGCAACUGGAAUUCUCGGUGUAGCGGUGAAAUGCGUAGAUAUCGAGAGGAACACCUGCGGCGAAAGCGGGUUGCUGGGCUGACACUGACGCUGAUGCGCGAAAGCCAGGGGAGCGAACGGGAUUAGAUACCCCGGUAGUCCUGGCCUUAAACGAUGGAUGCUUGGUGUCUGGAGUUUUAUAGUCUCCGGGUGCCGUAGCUAACGCGUUAAGCAUCCCGCCUGGGGAGUACGGUCGCAAGACUG
rnacentral:rRNA from 1 species